GGCUCCGGACCCUGAUAAGAUUGCCGCUGUACAGAAGUGGCCGGCCCCGCAGACUAUUCAUCAGGUUACACCCCCCAUUACCUGAUGUUUGGAUGGAAUGCUCGUCUGCCAGGCGAGCUGUUUAUGGGGACGAAGAGACCCAUGGAGUCAACCACGACGCAGGAGUGGGUGAGGAGACAUCAUGAGCGCUUGAGGCUGGCAUACCAGAUGGUGGAAAAGAGCAGCCAGAAGGCUGCAGGCCGGAUGAAGGACAGGUAUGAUGUUGGGGCUAGGGCAGCACCAUUGCUCCCGGGGGAAAGGGUUUUAGUCCAUACGACAAGAAGGGACGGACAGGGUAAACUGGCAGCACACUGGGAGGAAGAGAUCCAAAUUGUAGUUGGCCAGCCAAACCCUAUGAACCCAGUCUACAGAGUUCGGCCAGAAGGUAAAGAUGGGCCUGUUAGAGUGGUCCAUCGUAAUCGCCUGCGCAUAUGUACUUUCUUGCCUUCCGUCAAUGAUAAAACAGGAGGUGGCGCCUUAGAACCAGGAACGGCAGCUGCGCAUGAUAUAGCGACAGCCUCAGACCAGUGGUUACUUCUAUGGAGUAUGGCACAGCAGAUGCCAGGGCCAGGUCACUAUCCGUCCUCCAACAAGUCCGCCCCUGCAACUCAGGAGGGUUUAAGGAGAUCGGCCCGUGAAAAUCUCGGGAAGCCCCCACCUCGAUAUACUUAGUAGAGUGCCCGAGGACGGGCUAGGAAAAAGUUGGGGUGGGUGUUACGGAGUAUAGCAUGGUGGGAAAGGACGGAGAGAAACCCCCCCCCCCCCCCCCUCAAGUUUUGUUGGUUUUGUUUUUGAGUUUGUUUUGGAUUAAUUGCAUGUUUUUGUGUUUAUUUACGGUUGUUGCACCUGUGUGGGAGGGGAGAUUUUACUCUAGCCUAGCUGCCAGUGAGGCGGAGUUGAAUACAGGGAGCGGCUGAUUGGAGUUCCUCUUUAUAAAGGGGAGAGGAAGCAGGAAGUGUUGUUGUUGUUUUUAGUAGGACCUCGGUGAAGCAGGAGAGCCCCGGAGAUCCAGGACAAAGUGUGCGCAUUUUUAAUAGAAAGGAUUUUUUUAGCCUGGCCUGGUUUUUGCUUUUAACGAAACGGAGGAUGUGGAAAGGAGGACGUAUUCCUAUGGAGCUGUGAGAGGACGUGCUGGAAAAGAGAGGACGUGCUGGAAAAGAGAGGACGUGUUGGAAAAGAGAGGACGUGCUGGGAAAAAAGGACGUAUUGGAAAAGAGGAAAACGAGCACUAGACUGGAGACCUCCUGCGCCCCGAUAAGAAGAACUGGACCAGCUCGGGGAAGUUUAACUGCCGGGAGGUAAUGUGGAGACCCAGCCUCGAACAAAGUUAAAGCCUGAAAAGGCGAAGAACUCGGACCGCGGUGGUCUUUGGGCUUUGGAUCCCUGGCCGGGGUUGUCUUCAGCCGGUAGUUUGCCUAGAGGAAGAACGA
ensembl:lncRNA